rnacentral:sRNA from 1 species
CAAGUCACAUCAUUACAAAAGGGAUAAACAUCAUAUAUCAACGCAAACUCCAAACAGAUAAACAAUCAAACUGUUUUUCAAUGGCGUAACUACAAUAUGAAUAAGUAAAAUAAUUAUGUAACACUCUAUAAAAGUUAACUCAUCAUUAUCAAACAUUUCGCAGACAAUAAAACAAUAUCGAGUUAAAACCACAUAAAGGAGAUAUAUUGGAUUGAACAUAGAGAAAUGGGAGAUGUCAGAUAAAUUGCCAAAUAGAGUUUUUGAGGUCAUGAUGAAACCAUUCGCACAUCUAAUUGAAUCAUCAUCCAUUUACCAUUCCUCCAAAUUACAGAAAAAAGAGUUGACGGCGAAGUCAGAUUAUAAAAUGCCAAAUAAAGUUUUUGAGCUCAUGAUGAAACCAUUCGCACAUCUAAUUGAAUCAUCAUCCCUCGCCGUUUUUCACUUCAAAGAAACAACCAACGUAACAAAAUUAAACGAUCGUGCAGUCUGAAAAACAAUUCCUCAGAUUACAAGAAACGAUGCUGCAGAUUAUAAAAAACACAAAAAAAAAAAACUAAAUUGCAGAACAACCAACCCUAGACGAU